CGUGUGCUUUUCCGAUAUCAAAAAAUAUCUUGUCGUUCGGUACCAAAUUUCGAUACCUAAAGGGGUUAAUCUCGUCAAUGUCAGUG